rnacentral:misc_RNA from 1 species
AUUACAUAAAAUUAAAACGAUGUAAGGGUGAAUUUGGGGGAUGAAAGGUUUUAUGGAGAAACAACGAUGUUUCUUUUAUGAGUGCAGAUUUAACUUGUACUUGCUGUUCGCAACACAAUGUAAUUAAUGAUUUGACACAAAUAAUCAGGAAGCAAAAUAUUUUAUAAUCGACUAUAAUGGAGUUAAUUGACGAUGUCAAACAAAUAAAUUGCCAGUCUUCAAAAGACUCCAUCCAUCAACAGGUAUUUUUUCAAAACUUUCAAAUGCCAAUACAAACAGAAGAAGAUUUGGUCAGAGUUGAAAAAUUUCUCGAAAACGAAGUAAACUUCAAAUUAUCGGCACAAAAAAUUGCAAGAAUUGGCGGACAUACUCCCUACGAAUUUGUAAAGAGGGUGUUUACAAAAAUUUUGUCGGACGAUAUUUCCGUAAAAUAUAGUUGGUUAGGUGCCAAAAAGAAGGAAGUUUUUAGUCAUCUCCAUCUAUCUAGACUGAUAAUAAAUGCUGCUGGAUUAAAUCAGGCAACAUCUAGUUGUUCAAGCAAGGAUCUAGAAGAAGCGAUUAAAAAUUAUUUACGAAGAGCAAAAGAACGAUUAAUCACAAAAAAUAAAGGAAAUUCCUUAUUGUAAUGCCUUGUAUUUAUUCAUAAUGUUCA